rnacentral:tRNA from 1 species
AAGUCAGUAGUAUAAGAAAAAGUACGUAGCUUUUACAAGGCUAAAGCCCCACAGGGUUGACUUA